GAGUUUGAUCCUGGCUCAGGACGAACGCUGGCGGCGUGCCUAAUACAUGCAAGUCGAGCGAGCUGAAUUCAAAGAUCCCUUCGGGGUGAUUUGUUGGACGCUAGCGGCGGAUGGGUGAGUAACACGUGGGCAAUCUGCCCUAAAGACUGGGAUACCACUUGGAAACAGGUGCUAAUACCGGAUAACAACAUGAAUCGCAUGAUUCAAGUUUGAAAGGCGGCGCAAGCUGUCACUUUAGGAUGAGCCCGCGGCGCAUUAGCUAGUUGGUGGGGUAAAGGCUUACCAAGGCAAUGAUGCGUAGCCGAGUUGAGAGACUGAUCGGCCACAUUGGGACUGAGACACGGCCCAAACUCCUACGGGAGGCAGCAGUAGGGAAUCUUCCACAAUGGACGCAAGUCUGAUGGAGCAACGCCGCGUGAGUGAAGAAGGUUUUCGGAUCGUAAAGCUCUGUUGUUGGUGAAGAAGGAUAGAGGCAGUAACUGGUCUUUAUUUGACGGUAAUCAACCAGAAAGUCACGGCUAACUACGUGCCAGCAGCCGCGGUAAUACGUAGGUGGCAAGCGUUGUCCGGAUUUAUUGGGCGUAAAGCGAGCGCAGGCGGAAUGAUAAGUCUGAUGUGAAAGCCCACGGCUCAACCGUGGAACUGCAUCGGAAACUGUCAUUCUUGAGUGUAGAAGAGGAGAGUGGAACUCCAUGUGUAGCGGUGAAAUGCGUAGA
rnacentral:rRNA from 1 species